AACGGACCCAUAUUGAAACCUAGUGAUAUAUGGGUUAGUGGCGGACGGGUGAGUAACGCGUGGGUAACCUGCCUUACACAGGGGGAUAACACUUAGAAAUAGGUGCUAAAACCGCAUAAGCGCACAGCUUCGCAUGAAGCGGUGUGAAAAACUCCGGUGGUGUAAGAUGGACCCGCGUCUGAUUAGCUUGUUGGCGGGGUAACGGCCCACCAAGGUGACGAUCAGUAGCCGGCCUGAGAGGGCGGACGGCCACAUUGGGACUGAGACACGGCCCAGACUCCUACGGGAGGCAGCAGUGGGGAAUAUUGCACAAUGGGGGAAACCCUGAUGCAGCGACGCCGCGUGAGUGAAGAAGUAAUUCGUUACGUAAAGCUCUAUCAGCAGGGAAGAAAUACUGACCUUACGGUCAGCAGACGGUACCUGAGUAAGAAGCCCCGGCUAACUACGUGCCAGCAGCCGCGGUAAUACGUAGGGGGCAAGCGUUAUCCGGAUUUACUGGGUGUAAAGGGAGCGUAGACGGUGCGCCAAGUCUGGAGUGAAAUGCCGCAGCUUAACUGCGGAACUGCUUUGGAAACUGGCGAACUAGAGUGCGGGAGGGGUAAGCGGAA
rnacentral:rRNA from 1 species